ACAGACAGCAGAGUUGGGGACAGAUAUGCAGGGACAGACUGGCAGAGACAGGGAGUCUCAGCCCAGCCAAUCCACAGCUCUGUGGGGUCAUCAAGGCGGAGACUCCGGUGAAUGUUCCGAGACCCACAAACCUGCCUGUGGUCAUCAACCGAGCAGAUGAUGAUGAGGACGAAGAUGUUGAGAUCAACAGUGAGACAAGGACACCUGAAGUUAUCUGCAUAAGACACCUGGAGGAGAUCAGGCAGGAGAAGGUGGCUAAGUCCUAGGGACAGGUACAGGGUCAGGGGGACGACCCUUUCACUUCAGUCCCUGAUACAACCACCUCUACCACUGCCCCAAAGAAAGGCACCACCAGCAAACUCGCAAAAAGCCAAUGUGAAGACCUCUGUGAUCUUCCUUGCCAAGAAGCUGGAUGAGGACCAGGGGCCCAUCCCCAGCCUCAUGAAGGCCAAGCAGCCGGCUGUGGAAGCAACUCCAGGUGACUCCCAUGGACCCACCCACCUAGCCUGUUAGGGAUAGGGGGCAGUAUUUACACGGCCAGAUAAAAAACGUACCCG